rnacentral:miRNA from 1 species
ACUGCAGUGAGGGCACUUGUAG